CAGUAGCCGCGGGAAUACGUAGGUGGCAAGCGUUGUCCGGAAUUAUUGGGCGUAAAGCGCGCGCAGGCGGAUAGGUCAGUCUGUCUUAAAAGUUCGGGGCUUAACCCCGUGAUGAGAUGGAAACUGCCAAUCUAGAGUAUCGGAGAGGAAAGUGGAAUUCCUAGUGUAGCGGUGAAAUGCGUAGAUAUUAGGAGGAACACCAGUGGCGAAAGCGGCUUUCUGGACGAAAACUGACGCUGAGGCGCGAAAGCCAGGGGAGCGAACGGGAUUAGAUACCCGUGUAGUCCCUGUCUCUUAUACA
rnacentral:rRNA from 1 species